UACGAAGGGUGCAAGCGUUACUCGGAAUUACUGGGCGUAAAGCGUGCGUAGGUGGUGAGUUAAGUCUGUCGUGAAAGCCCCGGGCUCAACCUGGGAAUGGCGAUGGAUACUGGCGGGCUAGAGUGCGGUAGAGGAGAGUGGAAUUCCCGGUGUAGAAGUGAAAUGCGUAGAGAUCGGGAGGAACAUCAGUUGCGAAGGCGGCUCUCUGGACCAGCACUGACACUGAGGCACGAAAGCGUGGGGAGCAAACAGG
rnacentral:rRNA from 1 species